rnacentral:rRNA from 1 species
GACGAACGCUGGCGGCGCGCCUAACACAUGCAAGUCGAACGAGCGAGCGAGAGCUUGCUUUCUCGCGCGAGUGGCGAACGGGUGAGUAACGCGUGAGGAACCUGCCUCAAAGUGGGGGACAACAGUUGGAAACGACUGCUAAUACCGCAUAAGCGCACGGUGCCGCAUGGCACAGAGGGAAAAGGAGCACUCCGCUUUGAGAUGGCCUCGCGUCCGAUUAGCUAGUUGGUGAGGUAAUGGCCCACCAAUGCGACGAUCGGUAGCCGGACUGAGAGGUUGAACGGCCGCAAUUGGACUGAGACACAGCCCAGAAUCCUACGGGAGGCAGCAGUGGGGAAUAUCGCACAAGGGGGGAAACCCUGAUGAAGCGACGCGGCGGGGAGGAAGAAGGGCGUCGGAUUGUAAUUUCCUGUUGUAGGGGAGGAUAAUGACGGUACCCAACAAGGAAGUGACGGCUAACUACGUG